GGGAUCAAGGUGCUAGCGGCAGCAUGCCUGGCUCUUAACCAGGUCGGUGAAGGUUCAAGUCCUUCUGGUCCCA
rnacentral:tRNA from 1 species